AUCUUUUGAAUACUUUAAAGGCUUAAGAGAUAUGAUCUGAAAAGUGAGGGGAAAAAAAGAAUGGAGUACUUUGAAGAGAAGCUAAAAUGUGGAAUGUUUCACCUUAAAGAUCUAGUUCCAGUACUCCGAUUUCUCUAGAAAUCCACAGCAACACUUGAACCGCUGAACAAAUACAGUCUGGAUUCCUGAGACCAAAGGGCUCGGGAAAAUCGCUGAAAACCCGCUAUACUGGAACAGCUGCUCUCUGCCAGAACAUCAAUCAAAGGGCAGCUUACUGGAACCUUGAAGACCACCUAAGGAGCUACUUCCCCUGUUUUAAGAUAAACUGAAGCCCAGAAGUGUAUUGUGGAAGCUGGAGUCAGAGUUUGACUCCUGAUCCUCUCACUGAAUGUGUGGAGGUAAAUAUCUGUAAAGUCACCCAGUUUAGGAGUUUGGGAGCAAUACCUACACAACAACUCAGAUAGGUCACACUGCU
rnacentral:lncRNA from 1 species